AUGGGUAUAAUGAACAGUUUCAUCAACGACAUCUUUGAGAAGCUUGCUGCUGAAUCUUCAAGACUUGCAAGGUACAACAAGAAGCCAACAAUCACUUUAAGGGAAAUUCAGACCGCUGUCAGGCUUGUUCUUCCCGGUGAAUUGGCAAAGCAUGCCGUCUCUGAGGGCACCAAAGCUGUAACCAAAUUUACAAGUUCUUAG